GGAGUUAGCCGGUGCUUCUUCUGUGAGUGAUGUCCUUCCUGCCGGUUAUUGACCCGCAGGCCUUCUUCCUCACUGAAAGUGCUUUACAACCCGAAGGCCUUCUUCACACACGCGGCAUGGCUGGAUCAGGGUUGCCCCCAUUGUCCAAUAUUCCCCACUGCUGCCUCCCGUAGGAGUCUGGGCCGUGUCUCAGUCCCAGUGUGGCUGAUCAUCCUCUCAGACCAGCUACGGAUCGUCGCCUUGGUGAGCCGUUACCUCACCAACCAGCUAAUCCGACAUAGGCUCAUCCGAUAGCGCGAGGCCCGAAGGUCCCCCGCUUCCCCCGUAGGGCGUAUGCGGUAUUAGCCUGGGUUUCCCCAGGUUAUCCCCCACUACCGGGCAGAUUCCUAUGCAUUACUCACCCGUCCGCCGCUCGCCACCAGGGAGCAAGCUCCCCGUGCUGCCGCUCGACUUGCAUGUGUUAGGCCUGCCGCCAGCGUUCAAUCUGAGCCAGGAUCAAACUCUGA
rnacentral:rRNA from 1 species